rnacentral:rRNA from 1 species
UACGGAAGGCAGCAGUGGGGAAUAUUGCACAAUGGGCGAAAGCCUGAUGCAGCUAUGCCGCGUGUAUGAAGAAGGCCUUAGGGUUGUAAAGUACUUUCAUCGGGGAGGAAAAAACAAAACUAAUAAUUUUAUUUCUUGACGUUACCCGAAAAAGAAGCACCGGCUAACUCCGUGCCAGCAGCCGCGGUAAUACGGAGGGUGCGAGCGUUAAUCGGAAUUACUGGGCGUAAAGGGCACGCAGGCGGUUAAUUAAGUUGGAUGUGAAAUCCCCGGGCUUAACCUGGGAAUGGCAUUCAAGACUGGUUAGCUAGAGUCUUGUAGAGGGGGUUAGAAUUCCAUGUGUAGCGGUGAAAUGCGUAGAGAUGUGGAGGAAUACCGGUGGCGAAGGCGGCCCCUGGACAAAGACUGACGCUCAUGUGCGAAAGCGUGGGGAGCAAACAGGGAUUAGAUACC